GCCAUGAAAGCAGAUUCAUCAAAAGAAAAGGCUGACAAGGACUUGAUCCCAUUGAGUGUAAAGAAGAUGUGUGCGAUGAGGAUGGAGACUGCGGCGGGUCAAAAAUAGGAAUUGGAUAUUCAGGCGACAGUUAUUCCACCGUUAACUGGUUCGUCUGGAAUUGUUCUAAGAAAAACAAUGUUAAGGAUGAAUGUAAUAAUUUAAGUAGGAUGGAUGACUGUAAUGGCCAAGUGCCUAAAUUUAAAUCCUUGGAUGACUGUAAGGGCCAUGUGCCUACAUUU
rnacentral:lncRNA from 1 species